rnacentral:rRNA from 1 species
AGAACAACAGGGAUUGCCCUAGUAACGGCGAGUGAAGCGGCAACAGCUCAAAUUUGAAAUCUGGCUCUUUCAGGGUCCGAGUUGUAAUUUGCAGAGGGCGCUUUGGCUUUGGCAGCGGUCCAAGUUCCUUGGAACAGGACGUCACAGAGGGUGAGAAUCCCGUACGUGGUCGCUAGCUAUUGCCGUGUAAAGCCCCUUCGACGAGUCGAGUUGUUUGGGAAUGCAGCUCUAAAUGGGAGGUAAAUUUCUUCUAAAGCUAAAUAUUGGCCAGAGACCGAUAGCGCACAAGUAGAGUGAUCGAAAGAUGAAAAGCACUUUGGAAAGAGAGUCAAACAGCACGUGAAAUUGUUGAAAGGGAAGCGCUUGCAGCCAGACUUGCUUGCAGUUGCUCAUCCGGGCUUUUGCCCGGUGCACUCUUCUGCAGGCAGGCCAGCAUCAGUUUGGGCGGUGGGAUAAAGGUCUCUGUCACGUACCUCUCUUCGGGGAGGCCUUAUAGGGGAGACGACAUACCACCAGCCUGGACUGAGGUCCGCGCAUCUGCUAGGAUGCUGGCGUAAUGGCUGUAAGCGGCCCGUCUUGAAACACGGACCAAGGAGUCUAACAUCUAUGCGAGUGUUUGGGUGUCAAGCCCGAGCGCGUAAUGAAAGUGAACGGAGGUGGGAACCCGCAAGGGCGCACCAUCGACCGAUCCUGAAGUUUACGGAAGGAUUUGAGUAAGAGCAUGGCUGUUGGGACCCGAAAGAUGGUGAACUAUGCUUGAAUAGGGUGAAGCCAGAGGAAACUCUGGUGGAGGCUCGCAGCGGUUCUGACGUGCAAAUCGAUCGUCAAAUUUGGGCAUAGGGGCGAAAGACUAAUCGA